UUUAAUGAGAGUUUGAUCCUGGCUCAGGACGAACGCUGGCGGCGUGCCUAAUACAUGCAAGUAGAACGCUGAGGUUUGGUGUUUACACUAGACUGAUGAGUUGCGAACGGGUGAGUAACGCGUAGGUAACCUGCCUCAUAGCGGGGGAUAACUAUUGGAAACGAUAGCUAAUACCGCAUAAGAGUAAUUAACACAUGUUAGUUAUUUAAAAGGAGCAAUUGCUUCACUGUGAGAUGGACCUGCGUUGUAUUAGCUAGUUGGUGAGGUAAAGGCUCACCAAGGCGACGAUACAUAGCCGACCUGAGAGGGUGAUCGGCCACACUGGGACUGAGACACGGCCCAGACUCCUACGGGAGGCAGCAG
rnacentral:rRNA from 1 species